rnacentral:rRNA from 1 species
UACGAAGGGGGCUAGCGUUGUUCGGAUUUACUGGGCGUAAAGCGCACGUAGGCGGAUCGAUCAGUCAGGGGUGAAAUCCCAGGGCUCAACCCUGGAACUGCCUUUGAUACUGUCGAUCUGGAGUAUGGAAGAGGUGAGUGGAAUUCCGAGUGUAGAGGUGAAAUUCGUAGAUAUUCGGAGGAACACCAGUGGCGAAGGCGUCUCACUGGUCCAUUACUGACGCUGAGGUGCGAAAGCGUGGGGAGCAAACAGG